UACGGAGGGGGCUAGCGUUGUUCGGAUUUACUGGGCGUAAAGCGCACGUAGGCGGCGUAUCAAGUCAGAGGUGAAAGGCCUGGGCUCAACCUAGGAACGGCCUUUGAUACUGGUAUGCUUGAGUUCGGAAGAGGGAGGUAGAAUUUCAGGUGUAGCGGUGAAAUGCGUAGAGAUCUGAAGGAAUACCAGUGGCGAAGGCGGCCUCCUGGCCUAAUAUUGACGCUGAGGUGCGAAAGCGUGGGGAGCAAACAGGAUUAGAUACCCGCGUAGUCC
rnacentral:rRNA from 1 species